UGUUCCAUGUACAGUCCCUACCAAACUGAACAAUAGGUUUGGAGAUAUUAAUCUUAUGAAGUAAGUUGCUAUGGACAGGUGCAUCCACAGCAAGGAUACUGCGCAUGCCUGCAAGAAGAGGGUCACGCAACGGACACGGGUGCGAGACCACUGACGACCACCAGAGACCCUUGAGGACCACCGACUCAAAUCACUGAGCAUGCGUGACAGGGAGGAGAAUAUGGAAAUGGAUUCUAAGAAAUGAUUAUCAUAGGACUGCCCUUUCUGAGACAAACGAUGAAUAUGUAUGUUCUGAUCCUACAUAACCUUUGUGUUGGUGAUCACCUGGCAUGCACGUUGGGUGGAGCUAUCCCCUGUGCAUCCAGCGCUGCAAUAAAGAAUGCCUGCCUUUUAACACUACAUUGGUGUUACGAGGUUUAUUCCCAGAUUUUGGUGACAGUUUUGGCAGCCCAGAUGGGACACUGCUUUUGAACCUCGACGGAUCCGUGGGAUCGCAGGACCUCCAGCCGGCACCGGGUAAUUCUUGGGGAGAGCCUCCGAUCCCCGGACUGAAGAGCUCUGAGCAAGACCCCUGGGAGAGGAUUUCUCCAAGGAGGAACAGAUUCCAGAAGUGGUGGACAAUGCAGUAACCCCUUUGGUAUGGGCAAGUGAAGUUCCAGGAUGAUCCAAACUGGCAGAACCGGUAAAGGUGACUUUAAAACCUGGAGCCAAGCCGGUAAGACAAAAACAGUAUCCUAUUAAGUGGGAGGCUCGAAAGGGAUUAGAGAAAUUAAUUACAAAAUUUUUAGAAUAUGGGCUGUUAGAAGAAUGUGAAUCAGAAUAUAAUACCCCUAUAUUACCAGUAAGGAAAUCAGGAGGCAAGGAAUAUCGAUUAGUUCAGGAUCUGAGGGCCGUAAAUCAAAUAGUUCAAGAUAUACACCCAGUAGUGGCCAAUCCAUACACUUUACUGACAUCUUUGAAGGAGGAACAUAAAUGGUUUACUGUACUGGAUUUAAAGGAUGCCUUCUUUUGCAUACUUCUGGAUACAAAAAGUCAAAGCAUAUUUGCUUUUGAAUGGAAAAGUCCUGCUACAUGACGAAAAAUGCAACUAACAUGGACUGUACUUCCACAAGGAUUUAGGAAUAGCCCCACGAUAUUUGGAAAUCAAUUGGCAAAAGAGUUAGAAAUGUGGAAGAAACAGAAUCAAGGAGAAGGUAUAUUAUUACAGUAUGUGGAUGACAUUCUGAUAGCAGCAGAAAGCAAAGAAACAUGUUUUGAAAUGACCACCAGUUUAUUGAAUUUCCUGGGCCAAGGAGGAUAUAGAGUUUCCAGAAACAAGGCCCAGAUAGGGAAAGAAGCAGUGAUUUAUUUGGGAUUUGAGAUAUCUGAAGGACAGAGACAAUUGGGAAAUGAAAGAAAGAAGCCAUUUGUCAGAUCCCUGAACCUAACAGCCCAAAGGAAUUGAGAGCCUUUCUGGGAAUGAUUGGGUGCUGUCGACUCUGGAUUCUAAAUUAUGGACUGUAUGUGAAACCCCUAUAUGAAGCCUUGAAGGAAUCCAAAGACCAAUAUUUGAUUUGGACACCUGAAUGCCACAAAUCAUUUAAAGAACUCAAAAAGGCAUUAAUGAUGGCCCCUGCAUUGGGUUUAGAUCUAACCAAACCUUUUGAGCUGUUUGUUCACGAAAGGCAACAUCUGGCCCUUGGAGUGCUGGCGCAACGGCUGGGAUCUUGGAAGCGGCCGGUGGGGUACUUCUCCAAACAACUUGACACUGUGAGUAAAGGAUGGCCGGGAUGUUUGCGUGCUGUGGCAGCAAUGUUGCUGCUGAUUCAGGAAGCUUGAAAAUUGACUAUGGGCCAAAAGAUAGUGGUAUAUGUACUGCAUAUGGUAAUAACUGUCUUUGUCUUAGAACAAAAGGGGGGGUCACUGGCUAUCCCCUAGCAGAAUGUUGAAAUACCAGGUUGUCCUAUUGGAACAAGAUGAUGUGGAAUUAAAAACAACAGCAAUUGUAAAUCCAGCAAUGUUCCUGUCAACAAAAAAAUCCUACCGAGAAAUUGGAACAUGAUUGCCUGCUAACCAUUGAACAAGUUUAUUCCUGCAGGCCGGACCUGACAGACGAACCUUUGAAGGAUCCUGAUCUGGAACUGUUUACGGACGGAAGCAGUUUCAUGCAAGAAGGAAGCCGAAUGGCCAGACAUGCUGUUGUUACCACCGACAAGGUAUUGGAGUCAGGGACACUACCUGCAAAUACAUCAGCGCAGAAAGCAGAAUUGGUGGCGUUAAAGCAGGCUUUAUGGAUGGUAGAAGGGAAAAGGGUAAACAUACAGAGGGAUUCCAAAUAUGCAUUUGGGGUGAUCCAUGCUCAUGGAGCCAUCUGGAAAGAAAGAGGGCUGUUAUCAGCCCAAGGAUCACCAAUAAGACAUAAGGAGGAAGUUCUUUAACUCCUACAAGAUGUGCAGAAACUGAAGGAAGUGGCUGCAAUGCAUUGCAAGGCUCAUCAGUUUGGUCAGACGGUAAUCGAUUGGCAGAUAAAGCUGCAAAGGAGGCUGCAGGACAAGGUAUCCUUGCACUAGUACCAGUAAAACAGAUGAAAAUUCCAAAUUUAAAAGCAAGAUACAGCAAACUAGAUGAACAAUUGGCAGAGCACUUAAAAGCAUCUCAGAAUACCGAAGGAUGGUGGGUAACACCAGAGAAUCAGGUAAUAGUAACUCCACAAGUUAUGUUAGAACUUGCAAAAGAGAAACAUGAGCAGACACACUGGGGUGUAGAUGCUACGGAUAGAAGUUUAAGAACAUCUGUAAUGUGUCUAGGAUAGGACAAUAUGAGUGGAAGUAUUGAAAAGUUAUUAUUUCAAAACUUCCAAAGGGGGGAAAUGUAACUGUGGGAUAGGGGCCGUGAAACAGAAACUAUAGAAUCAGGUUGAGAUAAUUAGUUUGUAACCAAGGUAAUAGGUAAUGAAGCUAACUGCCCAUGGCAAGGUACAGUGCUGCUAUGUUCCAUGUACAGUCCCUACCAAACUGAACAAUAGGUUUGGAGAUAUUAAUCUUAUGAAGUAAGUUGUUAUGGACAGGUGCACCCACAGCAAGGAUACUGCGCAUGCCUGCAAGAAGAGGGUCACGCAACGGACACGGGUACGAGACCACUGACGACCACCAGAGACCCUUGAGGACCACCGACUCAAAUCACUGAGCAUGCGUGACAGGGAGGAGAAUAUGGAAAUGGAUUCUAAGAAAUGAUUAUCAUAGGACUGCCCUUUCUGAGACAAACGAUGAAUAUGUAUGUUUUGAUCCUACAUAACCUGUGUGUUGGUGAUCACCUGGCAUGCACGUUGGGUGGAGCUAUCCCCUGUGCAUCCAGCGCUGCAAUAAAGAAUGCCUGCCUUUUAACACUACAUUGGUGUUACGAGGUUUAUUCCC